UCCCUGGUGGUCCAAUGGCUAAGAUUCCAUGCUCCUGAUGCAAGAGGCCCAGGUUCGAACCCUGGUUAGGGAA
rnacentral:tRNA from 1 species